GGGUCGUUAGCUCAGUUGGUAGAGCAGUUGACUUUUAAUCAAUUGGUCGCAGGUUCGAAUCUUUCACGACCCACCA
rnacentral:tRNA from 1 species